rnacentral:rRNA from 1 species
GACGAACGCUGGCGGCGUGCCUAAUACAUGCAAGUAGAACGCACAGUUUAUACCGUAGCUUGCUACACCAUAGACUGUGAGUUGCGAACGGGUGAGUAACGCGUAGGUAACCUGCCUGGUAGCGGGGGAUAACUAUUGGAAACGAUAGCUAAUACCGCAUAAUAUUAAUUAUUGCAUGAUAAUUGAUUGAAAGAUGCAACUGCAUCACUACCAGAUGGACCUGCGUUGUAUUAGCUAGUAGGUGAGGUAACGGCUCACCUAGGCGACGAUACAUAGCCGACCUGAUAGGGUGAUCGGCCACACUGGGACUGAGACACGGCCCAGACUCCUACGGGAGGCAGCAGUAGGGAAUCUUCGGCAAUGGACGAAAGUCUGACCGAGCAACGCCGCGUGAGUGAAGAAGGUUUUCGGAUCGUAAAGCUCUGUUGUAAGAGAAGAACGGGUGUGAGAGUGGAAAGUUCACACUGUGACGGUAUCUUACCAGAAAGGGACGGCUAACUACGUG